CAGUAGCCGCGGGAAAACGUAGGGUGCAAGCGUUAAUCGGAAUUACUGGGCGUAAAGCGUGCGCAGGCGGUUAUAUAAGACAGAUGUGAAAUCCCCGGGCUCAACCUGGGAACUGCAUUUGUGACUGUAUAGCUAGAGUACGGCAGAGGGGGAUGGAAUUCCGCGUGUAGCAGUGAAAUGCGUAGAUAUGCGGAGGAACACCGAUGGCGAAGGCAAUCCCCUGGGCCUGUACUGACGCUCAUGCACGAAAGCGUGGGGAGCAAACAGGAUUAGAUACCCGUGUAGUACCUGUCUCUUAUAC
rnacentral:rRNA from 1 species